UUUGUAGUUUGUUGGCGAGGUGAGAUUCUCGCAUUGCCAGGAUCUGAGAAGAUAUUUACAACAGAUAUGUUGUAAAAUCAGAAGGAAAGAAGAAAAUCUGGGCCAGUUUUCACCAAGAGGUUGUUUUCUCUCAGGCUAGCCAUGUGAUUCCCCCCCACUGCAUCAACCAUUUCAAAGGUGAAUUGAUGUGGCUGUCCCAUAUAUACGGUGUGUGUCACUUUCAGAUUGUUUGAUGCAGUUGCAUUGAAGCUUUUUAAUUGCUAGCUGUUGCCCAAGCUUGGCAGUGCAGUAAUGUAGGCUUUGUCUUAUAGCAUCAUGAUGAUAUGCAGAGUUCAGACAAACAGUAAGGCACUACAUGGCUUCUUUAUCUUACAAUUGAGGUCUCCUUUGUUAAUUGAUUAUUGAUAUUAGGGAAAGAAAUAGGCAAAAUUGUAAUGGUGAAGUAAGACCCAGAAGAACUAUAAGUUGUAAUUAGGAAUUUUAACCUGAAACGCUAAUGACAUCUGUUGAUCCCAUGCUUGAAGAAAAGGUUUAACAAGUUGUAGAAAAGGCUCUCCUCUACUUGUACUGCCCUUUGUGACUUUUGGUCUCUUCCUCAGUUACUGGUUUUUUAGUAGAAAGGUAAGAUUUUAUACACUAGUGGAAAGAUUACAUGUAUAAAUAUAACUUUCUUCUACAACCACUCAAUUUGCCUCCACUUUUACCACAACUUGAAGU